rnacentral:tRNA from 1 species
GCCUUCGUAGUGUAGUGGUUAGCACGCUCAACGUGUAUUUGAUAGGUCCGUGGUUCGAGUCCCGGCAAGGAUU